CAGUAAUGACAAAGAUCAGGCUUUCUCCUGUGGCCACUGGAACAAUUUAACAAUACACAGCAACAAAUAGGCAAUCUGUUUUGCAGGAAAACCUGUGUUGCUGUAUGAGAACUAUUGAGUCAUAGCCUGAAUCUCUGAUUGAUCACCUGAGGCAAGCACUGAGUUAGCCCUGGAAGCACAGGUGAAGGCAAUUCAGCUGUGCUACCAGAAGAGGUGGAGACUGGCUGUGCAUCUCCUAGACCCUAUUUAAGGGCUGAUUGUCACUGAGGAAGUUAAUUUUUUUUGGAGAUUCUGUUGUUUAGUUUUAUGUUCCUGUGAGUCUGGGACAGGGGUGUGUGUUUCAUUGUUUUUUGCUUGCAUUUUUUUACUGCAAUAAUUUUUCCUUUGAAGUAACUUGUAAAAUACCAGUUUGCUAAUUGUAUAUUGAUCAAGCAUACGUUUGUAAACUGUUGGGUUCUCUAAAGCUGUUCAGUUAUUUCUUCUGUAGUUGUGACUCAUUCCUCAGGAGCCAGAGUCCCUUUUGUUGUACUCUACAUGUGCUAAUAUUUUUGUGUUUCUGUGGUUUUUCAAGGAAAUUUGUGAAGAAUGAGAAAUGAAGUACUAAAACCUAUUAAUUUGGAAGGUGUUGUAGUAGAGAAAUUGGUUAUUGACCUUGAUUGUUGCAAGCAGAUGAAGCAGAUGUAUAAGCUGGAGAGCAUGCUGCAGUCGUACUGUCAUUCCCUUGGCUCUCUGACUGGAGCAAACAGGAGACAAUACGUGGAAGGAUGUCUUUAUGCUGAAAAAAGAGAGGAAGUGCAGUACUGAUAUGUUCACUCUGCAGUCCGUCUCAAUUUUUCUCUCGUAAGACUGCUGUUCAGAUUUGUGAUCAAUAAUUCAUCUCCACGUAUCUUAUGUCAAUUAAGCACAGUGAGUAAACCCAUUUUUAUACAGAAUUACUGCUGUAAUUUGAGUAAUGUUUGUCUCCAUGUAGC
ensembl:lncRNA